rnacentral:misc_RNA from 1 species
GAUGAAGAACGUAGCGAAAUGCGAUACUUGGUGUGAAUUGCAGAAUCCCGUGAACCAUCGAGUCUUUGAACGCAAGUUGCGCCCGAAGCCAUUUGGUUGAGGGCACGUCUGCCUGGGCGUCACAUAUCGUUGCCCGAUGCCUAUUGCACUGUGAUAGGAAAUUCUAGGGCGAAAAAUGGCUUCCCGUGAGCGUUGUUGCCUCGCGGUUGGUUGAAAAUUGAGUCCUUGGUAAGGUGUGCCAUGAUAGAUGGUGGUCGAGUUUGCACGAGACCGAUCAUGUGUGCGCUCCCCAAAAUAUGGACUCUUUGACCCCACACGCGUCUUUUGACGCUCAUGACGAGACCUCAGGUCAGGCGGGGCUACCCGCUGAGUUUAAGCAUAUCAAUAAGCGGAGGA